ACAACCAAAGAAUGAAAAAACAGCAGAGAUCUGUGAACUAAUAAGCAGAGUUUUAGGGGUUGGUGGUACAAUGUAAAAAAACUUCUAAAGAAUGUCCAACGACCACAGUAAACAGUACUAAACGGUGGACAAAUCUGUAAAGAAUGAGGGUUUAGAGACUUUGUAUUAUUUUUACCUUGGCUGCCAUUUGGGGAGGGGAGUUUACUGAUGAAAGUAGAAGACGAGCCGCACAAUUCUGUUCGCUUUCAUAUCUGGCAGAAAAACACUUGUUAUAACUUGACAAUGGGUAUGAGGUGUCUGUAAUAUGGAUCAUGUCAUAUCUUGGCAGUGAGCAUAGGACGGCACGAACACAGCUCAAUACAAGCCACUGGCAUUGGAGAAGAGGCUUUCAUCACAGCUUGACAGUGUGCAUGAGGGACAAGAACACAGGCUCAAUACAAGUGCCUGUCAUUUGUACAGACGGUAGGAAAAGAGUAAUCUCACAUUGUAAAGGGUUGAACCAUUUCCUCAUGUUUAAGCAGUUCAACACAUAAGUCAGCUGCUCUGUGUUGUGUAAGAAGAUCAUCUGAGUUGGG